rnacentral:rRNA from 1 species
UGGGGAAUAUUGCACAAUGGGCGCAAGCCUGAUGCAGCCAUGCCGCGUGUAUGAAGAAGGCCUUCGGGUUGUAAAGUACUUUCAGUCGGGAGGAAGGUGGUAAGGUUAAUAACCUUAUCAAUUGACGUUACCGACAGAAGAAGCACCGGCUAACUCCGUGCCAGCAGCCGCGGUAAUACGGAGGGUGCAAGCGUUAAUCGGAAUUACUGGGCGUAAAGCGCACGCAGGCGGUUGAUUGAGUCAGAUGUGAAAUCCCCGGGCUUAACCCAGGAAUUGCAUCUGAUACUGGUCAGCUAGAGUCUUGUAGAGGGGGGUAGAAUUCCAUGUGUAGCGGUGAAAUGCGUCGAGAUGUGGAGGAAUACCGGUGGCGAAGGCGGCCCCCUGGACAAAGACUGACGCUCAGGUGCGAAAGCGUGGGGAGCAAACAGG